GAUGAACGCUGGCGGCGUGCCUAAUACAUGCAAGUCGAGCGAACGGACGAGAAGCUUGCUUCUCUGAUGUUAGCGGCGGACGGGUGAGUAACACGUGGAUAACCUACCUAUAAGACUGGGAUAACUUCGGGAAACCGGAGCUAAUACCGGAUAAUAUUUUGAACCGCAUGGUUCAAAAGUGAAAGACGGUCUUGCUGUCACUUAUAGAUGGAUCCGCGCUGCAUUAGCUAGUUGGUAAGGUAACGGCUUACCAAGGCAACGAUGCAUAGCCGACCUGAGAGGGUGAUCGGCCACACUGGAACUGAGACACGGUCCAGACUCCGACGGGAGGCAGCAGUAGGGAAUCUUCCGCAAUGGGCGAAAGCCUGACGGAGCAACGCCGCGUGAGUGAUGAAGGUCUUCGGAUCGUAAAACUCUGUUAUUAGGGAAGAACAUAUGUGUAAGUAACUGUGCACAGCUUGACGGUACCUAAUCAGAAAGCCACGGCUAACUACGUG
rnacentral:rRNA from 1 species